UACGUAGGGGGCAAGCGUUGUCCGGAUUUAUUGGGCGUAAAGGGCGCGUAGGCGGUGGGGUAAGUCUGGUGUGAAAUCUCGGAGCUCAACUUCGAAAUUGCACUGGAUACUGCUCUGCUAGAGGGCUGGAGAGGAGAUCGGAAUUCACGGUGUAGCAGUGAAAUGCGUAGAUAUCGUGAGGAAGACCAGUGGCGAAGGCGGAUCUCUGGACAGCUCCUGACGCUGAGGCGCGAAGGCUAGGGGAGCAAACGGG
rnacentral:rRNA from 1 species